rnacentral:rRNA from 1 species
GUCCACGGCCAUGCCACCCUGAACAUGCCCAAUCCGGUCUGAUCUUGGAAGCUAAGCAGGGUCGGGCCUGGUUAGUAGUUAGAUGAGAGACCACCAAGGAAGACCAGGUGCCAUAGGCA